rnacentral:rRNA from 1 species
AUCCUACGGGAGGCAGCAGCGAGGAAUAUUGGUCAAUGGCCGAGAGGCUGAACCAGCCAAGUCGCGUGAGGGAAGAAUGUCCUAUGGAUUGUAAACCUCUUUUGUCAGGGAGCAAAGUCACCCACGUGUGGGUGUUGGAGAGUACCUGAAGAAAAAGCAUCGGCUAACUCCGUGCCAGCAGCCGCGGUAAUACGGAGGAUGCGAGCGUUAUCCGGAUUUAUUGGGUUUAAAGGGUGCGUAGGCGGGUUAUCAAGUCAGCGGUAAAAAUGCGGUGCUCAACGCCGUACAGCCGUUGAAACUGGCAG